rnacentral:lncRNA from 1 species
AAAUCACGCGCCGACCGAGGGGCGUUGCCGUGUAUCCUGAGAAUCGAUUCGCAAGAAGAUGGACGCUAGAAAAGAGCAAAUUGCAAUGAGCAAUGAGCAAAUAAUAUUGUAGAUAUAAAUGUUAUCUAAUCUUAUCUGAUCUAAUUAUUAUAUAAAAACUUGGAAUUGUUUUUUUUAAGAGCGGCAGAGAGUAAAGAUUACAGAUAAAAUCUAUGUUGAGGCAAUGAGCUUUUUCAUUGACUGGAGAAGUGGUUUGGCAAUUUAUAAACAUGGUAAAAUUAAUGUUUCAAUUAUGUAUAUGUAUGUAUAUGUAAUAUAUGUAUAUGUAUUUAUUAUGAAUGUAUAAAAAGAACGGCGGCAGUGCCCGUACCGAACCGAUAAAGAGGUAAAGUGCAUUACAGCAGAAGGCAAAUGAGCAAGUUUCACAAAAUAAAGAUUUAAACAGUUGUGCUUGCUCUCUAUUGAGAGAGGGGAACAUAGCACAAAGGGGAAUGUAAAAUCUAUUGCUGAACAGAGCAAUGUGUAAGAGUAAUAAAAUAAAAUACCUUAAAUUUAUGAUGAGCUGCUACUGGCUGCGGGAUGCAUAACCAAACAUCCUCCCGCCGUUGGAGGAUACGGGCUGACAACAUCAUCCUGUUUGGGUAGAACGCAAAGUUGAGCGACGGCUCUAUUCAUCAGCGGCCAAAAAGGCAGGACCAACAGCUCGGUAAAAAUGAUACUUUGCUGUUUUGACAGCCGCCUUCCAGAGGACUCCAAAAUGCGGCGAUCGAGGAGGGAUGAACCGCCAUUCAAUGCUAUCAGUCAAGCAGAAUUCAUGUACUGCAGUUUGAUUGUGAUGUGUUCAGGAACAAACGCUUAAGAUUCUUCGAUGCAGGAGUGGAGAGAUCCUGAACCAGCUCAAGGUGAACAGCCUUUGUAGAAAAGCAGGUAAAGAUGCAGAUAUAGCACUUGAUCGGUGCUUUGUUCCGAACAGGAUUUUAAUAAAAUGGAUCGCAAAAGUACAGACCAGUGACAUUGAAGGAAUGUGAAGCUGUUACGCGGUCCUCAGAAAGAUCACCCAUAAUGUGACAAGCUAUAUGUUGCUUGGCUCGAAGGCAUAUGAUGUAUUUGCUGAAUGCACUUGCAGUUGUCUUGCGACCGUCAAUUGGCCAGAACUGCAGUCGAAUGGAAGCGAGUAGUGCGCGAGGUCCAGAAUGCAGAUUGCGACGAUGAUAGUCGAGUAUAAUGGCACGAGUGACUGGGUGCUGACGUG